rnacentral:rRNA from 1 species
AUGGUGACGAAAGACCCCGGGUUGAACCCGUACCAGCCGAACCAGAGCAGGAAGGUGCCGAGCACCACGAGCGACGCGCUGUGGCCCUUGAGCGCCACCGAGCGGCCGGCGUGGUCGAACCGGCCGAUGCGGGGCCCCUCGAUGAGCGCGCCCCAGAAGCCGGCGAUGCCGCCGACCAUGUGCACGACGCCGGAGCCGGCGAAGUCGAUCACGCCGGACUUGAAGAGCAGCGGGCCGGACGUGCGGGCCGCGGAGGCCCAGCCGUCCACGGACCAGAUCCAGUGGGACACGACCGGGUAGACGAACCCGGUGAGGAACGCCGAGUAG